rnacentral:rRNA from 1 species
UCACCUAGCCGUAAGGCGUUUACCAUCCUGGAGAAUCCAACCAGAGGGCCGGGAAGAGUUUUCUUUUCUGCUUAAGGGACAGAGGGCCUUGUGAACUGGGUCGGUCAGAGAGAGGGUCUUUGUCCCGAAUAGCGCCGCGGUUCUUGCGGAGUCCAGCUUCUCUGGUGUGGAACUUGAAAAUCCAGGGGUAAGAAUGAAAUACCUUCAUGCCAGUUCGUACCCAUAUCCGCAUCUGGUCUCCAAGGUGAACAGCCUCUCGUCG